AGGUUUGUGUUACCUCUGAUCCUUAUCUGACUUCAGGACUGGAAAAGAAGCAAACCACGAGAAUAUUUCGAGUGCUUUUAUCGAGCAUAAGUUUCAGUUUGGCUACACAUAUGAGAAGCAUAGGCGUUGCGGGGAAAUUAUAUGGUUCAGGGACUGUGAGACAGACUUAGGCCAAAGCUGCGGUCUUCCUUCGACAAAACAUGGCAUAUCUGGACUUGCCUCUUUAUAGGAUAGAAUUACUAUACACCCACGGGCUUAGCAUUCAGUUCAGCCUUGGAGCAAGCCUACUGGAGAGGGAACAGGUUGA